rnacentral:rRNA from 1 species
GAGCUAAAUAUACUACAAUAGUAGUUGUUUAAUGGGGUGUGGCAAAACUCCACCAAAAAUUAUAUUUAGGGGUGAUAGGCCUUUCAAAAACUAAGAUAUCUUGAUUUCAAUGAAAUGUAUUUAGUACAGUUAAUACAUUUAUUAAGUGUUUAGGUUUAAUAAUAAUAUAAAAUAAUAUACAAUGUAAUAUUACGUUUUAAUAAAUAAGUACUUACAAACAUAAUAUACUUCUAUAAAAGUUAUAGUUAAUAAUUGGAUAUAAUUAAAAUAAAUUAUAUUGUAAAUAAUGUUAGUAUUAGUAUUACAUAUAAGUUUUUGUAAGGAACUCGGCAAAGUGCUUCUCAACUGUUUAUCAAAAACAUAACUAUGUGCACUCAUCCAUAGCGGUAUCUGCUCAAUGAAUUAUUAAAUAGCCGCAGUAUUCUGACUGUGCAAAGGUAGCAUAAUCAAUUGACUUGUAAUUGAAGUCUGGAAUGAAGGAAAGUAUGGGGAGCCACUGUCUUGUAAAAAUUGUGAGGAACUUAUUUAGGAAGUGAAAAUCCUUCUCUCGAUAUAAGGGACGAGAAGACCCUAGAAAUUUUUAUUCUAUUAGAAUAUAUCUUUAAUAUUUUUUCGCUGGGGCGGCGGAGUAACAUAAAACUUACUUACAUAAACAUGCGCCUUAUUUGGUAUCUGAUAAAAUUACUCUAGGGAUAACAGCAUAAUAUUUAAAAGUUUGUGACCUCGAUGUUGGACUAGGACAUAAUAACCUAAAAGGUUUUUUAUAAUGCUCUGUUCGAGCAUAGACUCCUACAUGAUCUGAGU